AUACAGAUAUAUGUGGUAGUGGGACUGAUGGUAAAAGUUGCACCGAUGGCAUUUGUUCAGAUGGUGUUUGUCUCAGACCAUGUAAUGAUGACAAGCAAUGUAGAGGUUUGCCAUGUGUUGGUGGACACUGUGCAUAUGUCUUUUGUGGAGAGUCAUAUUGUCGUUUUUGAUAAACCAACAACUCUAAAUAUAUUCUACUGUAACUCUUUAAAGCACCCAGAUACC